ensembl:ncRNA K11G9.13 ncRNA
CUCAAUCUGAGACGGUUGUCAGAGAAUGCCGCAAGACAAAAGUGGCAGACGGUCGCUGGUCAGCGGGUGGUAAUUAACCCAAGCUUUUGCUCCUUCUUUUUUCUGCGCCGCACCGCUUUCCGGCACCUCUUAUGUGCCUUCGUUUUCAAAAGCUCUCAUAUGCUAAUCACGUCUAAUUAAGACAAUCGGUGCCGAAUUGUUUUUGCUCA